UCCCUGGUAGUAUAUCGGUUAGUACACGCGCCUGUCAUCACGAAUGGGUCGCGCGAAAGCGGGGUUCGACUCCCCGCCAGGGAG